CUUUCUGAAUUUUAAUCAGAAUCUCCAUUCCUGUUAUCUUGAAGCCGUUGGUUCGGAUCCCACCCUCCAGAGCAGGAGAAAACAAGGAGCCCCACCAAUUUGCAGCUUGGAGGCACUGGAAGAGGAAGCUCUGUGAACCUCUCUACUCAUGACGUGAACCACCCUGGCAUCUUCAGAUCAAGGACACUGCACAAAUUUAAUAGCCAUAGAAAUAAUAAAGUACGUUACCUGCUUGUGUGGUAAGAAUUUGCUUCUACACCAGCAGUUUGUUACACAUGUAAGGGAACAUCUGAAAUAAAAACACGGAACCAAGAGAAGGAGAGCAAACUCAGAGUCCUGCAGGGACCCAGUUUAUUCAAACUAUUGCAAUAGGACAGCCUUGCUAUCCAGUUCUUCAGCAGAAGGGCUGGUUUGAAAAGGCUGCCAGGGGGCAUAUUAGAAGAAAGCGUAUAUACACAGCACACAAAGACUCAUAAAAUGCCACAACACUCUUCCACUUGCAUCAAGAAAGGUCACAGGUCAUGGGAUGCGUGGCUCAAUGUGGAUAUCGACUCCUCUGAAAAUACCUUGGCGUGUCCCACAGUGCCCAGGUCAUUUGGGUCUCAUAUGUCUCACUUUGACACCAUGCCCACGGCAACCAGGACUUCCAUGGGACUGUUGAUUUUCCUAUUCCCUAUCUUACUUUCCUGUUCCCAAAACAUGUCAAAGACCUUUGAGGAGAGAUGUGAGUUCUCAAACGGAUGCUAGCUCAACACAGACCUCUUUCCCAAAACAUCAUCUGCCCUUCUAGGGUCUGAAAAGGCUGGAAGCGGUAGGAAACUUACACAUGACAACUUUACAGGAGGGUGGAAUGAGGUUUACAAAAUGCAGGCAUACAAAAGUCAAGCCUAAUGCAUUCUAUCUAAAAGGCUGGAUGCAAUUAAUACUAGGACACUUUGAUCAAAAUCUAUAAUAUCUAAUAUUCAAUCAACUAUCACAUUUUUUUACACCAAGUCCUUCCUAGGAAAGAUCAGCAUGGACAGCAACCU